CUAGGGAGAUGGGAACAAACAUCCCAGCUCUAGGAGACACAAAUGACAGACCAAAGAAACAAUUCUACCAAAGUCUCCAAUCAGCUUCUGGAGAUCAUUGGCAGAAGAACAAGGGAAUCAAAAGUAACUGCAUGACUGAAAAGGCCAGCCCAGAACAGGUUAAUGCGUGAAUGCUGCAUCACUGGAGCUGCAUACAGGACUGACGUGCCGAAGAGUCUCCUCUCCCCAGAUGUUGUCCAUGCUUACAUUACACUAGAUUUCCAGAAGAAACUUUUUUCAUUUGUUUACCAAUUUACUGCUGGUUGGAGAAACAUCUGUCUAAGCCCACAGGCAGAACAAAGAGAAAACAACAGCUUUGUUCAAUUAUGCAAAGUGCAGGUGAACAAUUCUACGCAGCAAACUUGACUGGCCUGUGAAUCCGCUUGGAGAGUGGAAGGCGGUACUGUGGAGGUGAGCAAUAGUAGGUGAGCAAUAGUUUGUGAUUUUAAAAAAGACUAUACUGCUAAACUCUUCAAGACAGGAGAAAUACUGAUUCCUCGGUGUACUUGUUUGUAUCUGUGUGCAGAUACUGUGUGUGUGUGUGUGUGUGUGUGUGUGUGUGU
rnacentral:lncRNA from 1 species